GAUGAACGCUGGCGGCGUGCCUAAUACAUGCAAGUCGAGCGAACAGACGAGGAGCUUGCUCCUCUGACGUUAGCGGCGGACGGGUGAGUAACACGUGGAUAACCUACCUAUAAGACUGGGAUAACUUCGGGAAACCGGAGCUAAUACCGGAUGACAUGUUGAACCGCAUGGUUCAACAGUGAAAGACGGUCUUGCUGUCACUUAUAGAUGGAUCCGCGCCGCAUUAGCUAGUUGGUAAGGUAACGGCUUACCAAGGCAACGAUGCGUAGCCGACCUGAGAGGGUGAUCGGCCACACUGGAACUGAGACACGGUCCAGACUCCUACGGGAGGCAGCAGUAGGGAAUCUUCCGCAAUGGGCGAAAGCCUGACGGAGCAACGCCGCGUGAGUGAAGAAGGUCUUCGGAUCGUAAAACUCUGUUAUUAGGGAAGAACAAAUGUGUAAGUAACUAUGCACGUCUUGACGGUACCUAAUCAGAAAGCCACGGCUAACUACGUG
rnacentral:rRNA from 1 species